rnacentral:rRNA from 1 species
GACAGAGGGGGCGAGCGUUGUCCGGAGUCACUGGGCGUAAAGCGCGCGCAGGCGGCAACCUAAGUGUCGUGUGAAAGCCCCCGGCUCAACCGGGGGAGGCCAUGGCAAACUGGGUCGCUCGAGCUGCGGAAAGACCCCUCGAAUUGCCGGUGUAGCGGUGAAAUGCGUAGAGAUCGGCAGGAAGACCAAGGGGGAAGCCAGGGGGCGGGCCGCAGGCUGACGCUGAGGCGCGACAGCGUGGGGAGCAAACCGG